rnacentral:rRNA from 1 species
UACGGGGGGGGGCAAGCGUUGUUCGGAAUUACUGGGCGUAAAGGGCUCGUAGGUGGCCAACUAAGUCGGACGUGAAAUCCCUCGGCUUAACCGGGGAACUGCGUCCGAUACUGGUUGGCUUGAGUUUGGGAGAGGGAUGCGGAAUUCCGGGUGUAGCGGUGGAAUGCGUAGAGAUCCGGAAGAACACCGGUGGCGAAGGCGGCCUGCUGGGCAGUUGCUGACACUGAGGCGCGACAGCGUGGGGAGCAAACAGG